rnacentral:rRNA from 1 species
AACGAACGCUGGCGGCAGGCUUAACACAUGCAAGUCGAACGCCCCGCAAGGGGAGUGGCAGACGGGUGAGUAACGCGUGGGAACAUACCCUUUUCUACGGAAUAGCUCUGGGAGCCUGGAAUUAAUACCGUAUAUGCCCUACGGGGGAAAGAUUUAUCGGGGAAGGAUUGGCCCGCGUUGGAUUGGCUAGUUGGUGGGGGAAAGGCCUACCAAGGCGACGAUCCAUAGCUGGUCUGAGAGGAUGAUCAGCCACAUUGGGACUGAGACACGGCCCAAACUCCUACGGGAGGCGGCAGUGGGGAAUAUUGGACAAUGGGCGCAAGCCUGAUCCAGCCAUGCCGCGUGAGUGAUGAAGGCCUUAGGGUUGUAAAGCUCUUUCACCGAUGAAGAUAAUGACGGUAGUCGGAGAAGAAGCCCCGGCUAACUUCGUGCCAGCCGCCGCAGUAA